rnacentral:rRNA from 1 species
CGGACGGGUGAGUAACGCGUGAGAAUCUGGCUUCAGGUCUGGGACAACCACUGGAAACGGUGGCUAAUACCGGAUGUGCCGAAAGGUGAAAGGUUAACUGCCUGAAGAUGAGCUCGCGUCUGAUUAGCUAGUUGGUAGAGUAAAAGCCUACCAAGGCGACGAUCAGUAGCUGGUCUGAGAGGACGAUCGGCCACACUGGGACUGAGACACGGCCCAGACUCCUACGGGAGGCAGCAGUGGGGAAUUUUCCGCAAUGGGCGAAAGCCUGACGGAACAAUACCGCGUGAGGGAGGAAGGCUCUUGGGUCGUAAACCUCUUUUCUCAGGGAAGAACACAAUGACGGUACCUGAGGAAUAAGCAUCGGCUAACUCCGUGCCAGCAGCCGCGGUAAUACGGAGGAUGCAAGCGUUAUCCGGAAUGAUUGGGCGUAAAGCGUCCGCAGGUGGCAAUGUAAGUCUGCUGUUAAAGAGUCUAGCUCAACUAGAUAAGAGCAGUGGAAACUACAUAGCUAGAGUACGUUCGGGGCAGAGGGAAUUCCUGGUGUAGCGGUGAAAUGCGUAGAGAUCAGGAAGAACACCGGUGGCGAAGGCGCUCUGCUAGGCCGUAACUGACACUGAGGGACGAAAGCUAGGGGAGCGAAUGGGAUUAGAUACCCCAGUAGUC